rnacentral:rRNA from 1 species
CGCCUAACACAUGCAAGUCGAACGAAGUAGCAAUACUUAGUGGCAGACGGGUGAGUAACAUGUAGGUAUCUGCCCUUUGGCCUGGAAUAACACGAGGAAACUUGUGCUAAUACCGGAUAAGUCUUUACGGAGAAAGCUUUAUGCACCAUUGGAUGAGCCUGCACUUGAUUAGUUUGUUGGUGGGGUAAUGGCCUACCAAGACUGUGAUCAAUAGCUGAUUUGAGAGGAUGAUCAGCCACAUUGGGACUGAGACACGGCCCAAACUCCUACGGGAGGCAGCAGUGGGGAAUCUUGCACAAUGGAGGAAACUCUGAUGCAGCGAUGCCGCGUGAGUGAAGAAGGCCCUUGGGUUGUAAAGCUCUUUCGUCGGGGAAGAAAAUGACUGUACCCGAAUAAGAAGGUCCGGCUAACUUCGUGCCAGCAGCCGCGGUAAUACGAAGGGACCUAGCGUAGUUCGGAAUUACUGGGCUUAAAGAGUUCGUAGGUUGUUGAAAAAGUUAGUGGUGAAAUCCCAGAGCUUAACUCUGGAACUGCCAUUAAAACUUUUCAGCUAGAGUAUGAUAGAGGAAAGCAGAAUUUCUAGUGUAGAGGUGAAAUUCGUAGAUAUUAGAAAGAAUACCAAUUGCGAAGGCAGCUUUCUGGAUCAUUACUGACACUGAGGAACGAAAGCAUGGGUAGCGAAGAGGAUUAGAUACCCUCGUAGUCCAUGCCGUAAACGAUGUGUGUUAGACGUUGGAAAUUUAUUUUCAGUGUCGCAGGGAAACCGAUAAACACACCGCCUGGGGAGUACGACC